GGCGGAACUGGCAGACGCACAGGACUUAAAAUCCUGCGGUGAGUGAUCACCGUACCGGUUCGAUUCCGGUC
rnacentral:tRNA from 1 species